rnacentral:misc_RNA from 1 species
UCCUCGUUAACCGAGGCAGUCUCGCAUGAAAAAUUCAACAUACGACAAGGGUUGCGCUCGUUGCGGGACUUAACCCAACAUCUCACGACACGAGCUGACGACGACCAUGCAGCACCUGUCACCGGUCCAGCAGACUGACUCUUUGGUUUCCCAAAGAUGCGACCGGGAUGUCAAGCCCUGGUAAGGUUCUUCGCUUAGCGUCGAAUUAAACCACACGCUCCACCGCUUGUGCGGGCCCCCGUCAAUUCCUUUGAGUUUUAAGCUUGCGCUCGUACUCCCCAGGCGGGGUGCUUAACGCGUUAGCUUCGAUACCCAGGGGGUCUAUUCCCCGAAUACCUAGCACCCAUCGUUUACGGCGUGGACUAC